rnacentral:tRNA from 1 species
ACCUUAUUAAUAUAAAACAUUAUAUUUACCUUCCAAGUAAAAAAUCUAACAUUUUAGAUAAGGUA